AGAACGGAAAUCGCUGAAGUGGAACCGGAGAGAGUUAACAUAACUUGGUACUAUAUUCUCUAUAGUCGCUUAGCUGUGGCUUUGGGGGGUGGACGCUACCUGUUGUUGCGCUGCUGCGUUGAUCAUGCUUUCCUAACAAUGUAUGUUGCCCACAUUGUGGUGUCUUGCUUAUUGGGAGGUUUGUCAUGGUUAACGUCAAGCCUUAGUUUCUACAGUGUGAAAGUUAACCACCUUUCCGACCCGUCUUGGACCGAGGAGUGUAAUUUACACGCGAGUCAAAGGGCUGAGGAAACCUUAUGGCAUAAUGAAAGUAAAGACCGGUUAACCGGUUGUGGGAUCCGUUCUUCGAAACGGAGCACCAUGGCCCUGUCUUGUCUGCUUGCAGAUGGGCAGCGGUAUAGGUUGCGACCCGAAAGAUGGUGUAUGCUUGAGCAGGACGAAGCCAGAGGAAACUCUGGUGGAAGUCCGUAUCGGUUCUGUGCAAAUCGAU
rnacentral:rRNA from 1 species